UCCAACAGUACUUAAUGUCCACAAUUAUCAAACUCACUUGUAAAGUUUAUAUUCCAGACAUUGCUGUAAUGCAGAAUUAAUUGGAAUAAUUAGCUGACAGAUUCAUCAAUAUCAAAGGUGAAUCCAAAGCUGAAUUACAUCUAUUACCUGCCAGCAAAGGGACUUUUCAAUUUUUAAAGCUUCAACAUGUGCUCUUGGAUGGCCACAACCUACCAUAAUUUCAUGCCAACCCCCACAUUUGUGUAGCAGCUAAAAGUUUGGGUAAUUUUUUUUUUGUUUGUUUGGGGUUUUUUGUUUGUUUGUGGUUUUUUUUAUAUUUUCAGCUGGGAUAAUCAACAUCUUUGCAAGGCAGUAUCUCUGCUGUAGCCUUUACUACUACACUGUCAUCAAGAACCAAAUCCUCUGUUAAAUAAUACAAUAUGAGGGAAUAAAAUUGCUUGUAAGCAGUGAAGCACUAAUCACUGCCUGAGAUCAUGGAUCCUACUGGGCUGAUGCAAAAGAGAAGAGACUAAAUCAGCUGAACAGGUUAGUUACAGACUAACAGCUCAUUGGUAGGGAAAUGCUUUAAAGCCUUCCUUACUGCAAAGGGAGAGAGCAUCAGGCUUCCCGAGACACACAUGAGGCUCUGGCCUUAGUCUACUCAGAAAAUUAUUUUGGACUUGAAGGCAGCAGCCUCUGCCAGCAGCCUCAAGCUGGCACACAACUCUUUAGGCAGGAUGCAAGAUCCUCAAGUCACAACAGCACAGCAAUGAAAAGGUCUUUCGGAAAAGGGAUUAGCUAGGAGUGAAAGUAUUGAAGAUAGAGAAAGUACCAAAUUGGACUUGACAGUUUUAUUUUAUAGCUGGGAUAGAGCAAUAUGCUUUAUAGCAUAUGGAACAAACUCAGAUUAAAGAGAGGACCUCUGGGUAUGUCUCACAGAGCCGAAGUUUGUGAUCUGAUCUCCUCUGUGUUUUUGAGCUGGAUGAACUGCAAGGUCCUAAUUUAGCUGUAGCAAAUAGCAGCAGCUGACAAGUUUCUCGUCAAACCUCUUAAAGUUUUAGAAACUAUUUUGAUGUCUGGAACAAGAUUUUUUAAAGACUGAGCCCGUGGAUAUCUGGGAGAAAAAAAACCCACAAACCCACAAAAAACAAUCAGUAAAAAUAUUAUUUUGUCUACAUUUCUCUCUUAGUGCUGCAAUGGAGACUGAAGACCUUAAGGAGAGUCACAGUCCUGCUUACCCUUUUACUUCACAUUUGCAAAUACCUCAGACAAGCAUGGAGAAUCAGCACUAACCCCUCAGCAGUACACCAGCAAUGUUUUGUCAAAGCCAGCAAAGUCGAGCUCAUGUUGUAUGAAAGAUCUCAGCAGGAAACAACACUCAUUAGGGGCAGAGAGAGUUGACAUAGGUCCAGUGAUGGCAGAAGGAAAUAAAUCAUGUGUGAAUGAAGGAAAGAGGAGAUUGAGCACCCCAGACUGAACAGUAGGUAUUCACAGAUACUUUCACCCUUAGUCCCCUAACCUCUAUCACUCUUUCCUGUCUGCAACAUGAGGAACAUGUAUUUUAUGUAUUAAACAAAAAACCAAAUCAAACCAAAAAAUAUUUGUCAGUUAAUAUAUGCACAGCACUCAGAAUGUGAUGGCAUUGAGUGUCAAGAAAAGCCUAUGAGGAAAUUAAUAAUACUGCUUACAGAAGUAUUGAGCAAUAAGAAGCAAUAAGAAAAAGCAAAUGAAUGAAUGCUGAGAUGACUGGCUUAGAAACUAAAACAAAAAGAAAUUAAAAAAAAAAAAACCACUUCAAGUAAACACACUUUCGUGCCACUUAACCUGUAUGUUUUCCAUUUAUUACUUUAGAGACCACAAAUCCUGGGAAUGUUUGGAAUCCCACCUGCAACAUAUCCAUCUCAGGAUGCCCAGGGACAGUACGAUGCAAUGAAUUUCCUACCUCUACAUUUCCUUACUUGCAAGACCACUUCUUGUCACACUGUCCUGGGAAACUAACUGGCAUCCCGAGAUCUGAUUAUUAUUUCAGCCACUCUGCUUGCACAGUUUAUAAACAUCAUCAUUGUAUUGGGCCAGCUCUAACCCACUUCAGGGAUAUCUGAAUGGUUCCCUAAAGGAAUGAAGUGCCUGAUCCUUCUGUGAAGCCCAGGGAGCUCCACUUAAUUUCUACCAUAUGUGACAGUUAACGCACACCCAAGCUGAGAGAAGGAACUGAAAAGACAACAAAGUGAAGGGGCUUAAAGGCGAGCCUGCACUGCAGAAACUCAGACAACUUCUCUGGGCAGGUGUGUGGUGCAAGGCACGAAGAACGAGAUCUCACCCAGGAACCAGCUGAAUGAAGAGGACAACACUUCCCCCUAAAAACAAGGUGCCAGAUAUGGAGUAGCGCCGUGGGAGGGA